UGUUCUGUUUUGUAUUUGAGGGUGUGUUUCAGGAGAUGGCUUCCUGAAGUACUCCCCAACCAGCUGAUUGGUCAACCCCAGGCUAAUUGGUGAUUGGAGCUGACCCCGCCCCCUCGUCAAGAAGCAGCUGACUCUAAUCACCAUUGCCACCUGAAGAUAAAAGCCAGUGUUCUGCCCAAGAGAAGGAGAGGAGAUGAGAUAAGGAGUAGAGAUUUGGAGAUUGAGAGAAAAAUUAGAUUGUGAUAUAGUGUGGGUUGUGUAUCAGAAAGUGUGGUAUGUACUGUUGUUGUUGGUAGCAGUUUUGCUAUGUCCUGUGUUUGUGAGUGUUUGUGAAAUCAUUAAUAAUUACUCUGUUUCGUUUGUUCCCAGGGGGGAAGGAGAAGGCACUUUGGGAGUGUUUAGGCAAGAGGCCCGAGGGCAUACAUAUACCCGUAGUAUAUUUACUGUCUAGGCACACUAGGUAAGACCUGGGCGGACCACCCCCUGUAUUUUGGGUAGGGCACCAGGCGGUGUUAAGUUAGGUAAGUUAAGUGGGUAGGCAGGUUAGAUAGGAGAGGGGGAACUUUGAUAUUUACUUUCUUUGCUUUGGUUCCGUCCAGCCCCUUUUCCCCAUAUUACCGUGUAAGAAAAUAAAUUUGAGUAAAUGGUAAA